CUAUUUAUUCAAUAAUUUAUUUAUUUAUUUAUUUAUUAAUAUUUAUUUUUUAUUAUGAACUUUUAGUUAUUGCCUUAUGUAUUUAUUUAUUUAUUUUGUCUCGCUAUAUAUCUUUUAUUUAUGGCUACUCUGGAGAUUAUUUGCAAAUUCAAACAGAAUGUAAUCUUUCAUGUUACCAGAAGAUCUAUUUAUGUAAACGAUUUAUGUUGACUGUGACUAGUGGAGACCCAGUACUGUGGUCAGACAUCUUAAUUAAUACUAUCUUUUCUAAUGUUGUUGUUAAUCAGUAGAGUUAUAAUUAUGUGUCAAUAUUUACAUCAACUAAUAUAUUUCCUUAGAGUCAUCCACGUUCUUGGCCAUUCCGCAGACCUGUAGAUAGAGAAGAAGUUCCAGACUACUAUGACAUCAUACGAUUUCCAAUGGAUUUGCAAACCAUUGGACAACGAAUAAGGUCUGGCUACUAUGUGAGUCGAAAACUAUUUGUAGCAGAUGUGACACGGAUGUUAAACAACUGCAUGACAUACAAUGAUUCAGAUACUGACUACUAUCAGUGUGCAGUAGCUUUGGAGAAGUUCUUUGCAUCAAAGAUAUGUAACUGUUAUAGUGGAUAGGACAUUUCUCAUCCAACACAAGCUGAGUCUACAGAGGACAACUGCAGAAGCAUCUAUAGAUAAAGAUACCAAGAAGUUACGGCAUUCAAAUACAUCAAACUGGAAAUAUAAAAGGGGACUCUAGAGACUUCAGUGAUUGCAACCAUACUGACUUGUCUUCAGACAAAGUUAGUGUAUGUAGCAGCCAGAGGAAUGCAUAUAUAACAAAAUACUUUGGUAUAGGUCAAGAAUAGAUCUAAUAUUGCAAUUCCAUACAUUUUCUAGGAUAGAAAAUUGUGUGACACUCUACAUAGAAUGUACACUUGCAAGCUGACCCUGGUCUAUUGCAAGACUUGCUACUGGUAGGUUUAUUAUGUUGUGUACCGUACAGUAUUGCUUGCUGUAAACUGACAAUGUCCUUGAAUGCGUUUGUACGUUACUAUGUUUAUGCCUACUUUGAGUACUACCAGCUAAUACAUUUGAUAUA